AUUGAACGCUGGCGGCAUGCUUUACACAUGCAAGUCGAACGGCAGCGCGGGCUUCGGCCUGGCGGCGAGUGGCGAACGGGUGAGUAAUACAUCGGAACGUGCCCAGUAGUGGGGGAUAGCUCGGCGAAAGCCGGAUUAAUACCGCAUACGACCUGAGGGUGAAAGCGGGGGAUCUUCGGACCUCGCGCUAUUGGAGCGGCCGAUGGCAGAUUAGCUAGUUGGUGGGGUAAAGGCCUACCAAGGCGACGAUCUGUAGCUGGCCUGAGAGGACGACCAGCCACUGGGAGGCAGAGAGCCGAGACAGAGACCUGGGGGAGGCAGAGGGGGGGAGUUGUGGAAGAUGGGCGAAAGGGCGAUCCAUCAGUGCGGGGGGUUUGAUGAAGGCCGUGGGGUGGAAAACGAAUGUGGGCGAGAACGAAAAGGACUGGCACAAUACCAGGGUGCGAUGACGGCACGCGCAAAAUAAGCACGGGCGAACGACGUACCAGCAGCCGCGGUAAGAAUCGAGUAGCACACGUCUGAAC
rnacentral:rRNA from 1 species